UAGUUACUCCCUCCGUUCCAAAUUACUUGUCGCAGGUAUGGAUGUAUCUAGAUAUAUUUUAGUUCUAGAUACAUCCAUUUCUGCGAUGAGUAAUUUGAAACGGAGGGAGUACUUA
rnacentral:pre_miRNA from 1 species